rnacentral:rRNA from 1 species
GACGAACGCUGGCGGCGUGCUUAAUACAUGCAAGUCGAGCGGAGAAGCUCGGUUCUUGCACCAUUUUGGAGAGCCGCGAACGGGUGAGUAACGCGAGGGGACUCUGCCUUUGAGCGGGGGACAACAUUGGGAAACGAAUGCUAAUACGGCAUAACAACUUUAAACAUAGGGUUUAAGUGUGAAAGAUGCAAUUGCAUCACUCACAGAUGAUCCCGCGUUGUAUUGGCUAGUUGGUGAGGUAAAGGCUCACCUAGGCGAGGAUAGAUAGCCGAACUGAGCGGGGGGUCGGCCGCAUUGGGAGGGAGACACGCCCCAAACGCCUACGGGAGGGAGCAGUAGGGAAUCUGCGGCAAUCGACGGGAGUCUGACCGAGCAGGGCGGCGUGCGUGAAGAACGUUGUCGGAUCGUGAAGCUCGGUUUGUAGGGAAGAACCUUGGUGAGAGUGGAAAGAUCCUCAAGUGACGGUAACUGCUCAGAAAGCGACGGCUAACUACGUG